UACGUAGGUGGCAAGCGUUAUCCGGAAUUAUUGGGCGUAAAGCGCGCGCAGGCGGUUUCUUAAGUCUGAUGUGAAAGCCCACGGCUCAACCGUGGAGGGUCAUUGGAAACUGGGGAACUUGAGUGCAGAAGAGAAAAGCGGAAUUCCACGUGUAGCGGUGAAAUGCGUAGAGAUGUGGAGGAACACCAGUGGCGAAGGCGGCUUUUUUGG
rnacentral:rRNA from 1 species